UACAUUUUAUGGGAAUUCAAAUUAAUAGACUUUGACAUUGUUUGUCUAUUGUUUAGCAAGAUGAUGUAUGAUUCCAUUCUCCCUAGGAAAAGAAGAGUAAAACAAUUUGGAUUCGUUCGUCUAAGUCUGGUUUUGCUAGGCGAAGAACGUAAUUGUAACACCCAAAAUCUAACAUGUACGGAGCACGUGAAGAAUGAGGUUACUUAUAAAUCGUAAUCAUUACUCAUAAAUACCAAACUAAAACACCUCAAAUUUUUAUUCAAAUAAAUCCACAAAUUCAUACAUUUAACACUAAAUAAUCUCUCCCGAAACAUAAAAAUAACAAAAGUCUCAAAACUCUAAAUCACAAGUUCAUAACAGAAAUAAACUAAAAAGAAACAUGAGUCUAUUCCUCAUUUUAUUCAAAUAGCAAACGAAAAUGGAAUCUCUAACUCCAAAGCUAAGCACAUCUCUCAAAAGGAACUUAAUAUGCAAAAAGUAAUGACAAGGGGUGAGCCAUCAACUCGGUAAGUAAAACCAUUCCAAACACACUAAGCUUCAGUAUCGAAAAUAUUGCAAGCCUUCCUUUUUGUAAAACAUAUAUCAUAAUUCAUAAAUUUUAUAAAACAACAUAUUUCAAUAAGAUGACAUAAAUUCAUGGUAACUUAGAAUAUCAAAAGCAUAAUCAAUUAUAAAAGCAAAUGGUAUAACGCCAUGCACAAAAAACAGACAGUUAGCUCAUGUCACGUAAUAUCACCUAUAGCCCUAAUGACCCGACCAGAAAUAGAAUCAGAAUCAGAUUACCAUCUGCACAUUCAGAAUAGAUACCCAGUACUAGUCCAGAACAUAAAUAUCGUAUAAUACGAUCAGAAUCAGAAUCAGAAUAACUACUAACAAUGAGCCAAAACAUUCAAAUUAACUUUUCAUAUGUAAUGACUUAUACAUGGUACUUUGCACUAUAUGUGGCACUUUACGGCAUUUUGGCCCUUAAAAGGUGGCCCCCGUAUAGUCUAAACAGGUGGCCUCUUUACAAUCAUAAAUAAUUGAGAUCAUACAUAGGCACAAACAUUCGUAUCAGAUUCAUGAAAGUCCAGAGCAACAAUCUAGGCUUGCAAAAUAUUUCAUAGACAAAAUUAUAAAAGGUAGUCAUGUCAUAAAAUAAUUUACAUAUUGAAAAGUAUUUAUAAAAUAUUUUGUUAAAAGAACUUAGAUUUGAAAACAUUUUCAUCAACUGAUUUUGUUAUGAAAAUCUAUUAAUCUUCUAAGUAGUAUAAAAACUUUAUAAUAAUAUCAAAAUAUUUAUAUAUAUCUAGUAUAUUAGGAAUGAAGUUACUUAUCUCGAUCAAAGGAUUUGAACUAACACAUCUCUAAGCCUCUAAAAGCCUCAAUCACCUCCAACACCUUAACAAAUAUAAGAUAUAACUAUCAAUAACUUAUCUUAAGAAUCAGAUUUUCUAAUUCAUACUCGUACUAGUCUGAUUCUCAGAAUUUUAACUCUUAAUCUAAAAAUCAAAAUGACAUAAUAUUCUAUGGAACCAUUCUGGACAUCCAUCUGUACCUCAUAUAAAAUUUUCAAGAGGAUCUGAUAUCAAAAACAUUUUCAAGACUAUUUAUUACUUGACAAAUUUGAAACUGUUUCACAAUAUCAUAACCGAACAGAAUGUGUUUUGAGAUUUUUAUAAAAUCAUAUACUAGACACAUGUAUCAACUCCUAUAUAAAAUUCCAGAAUGUUUCGAGUUCAUUGCAUCGUACAAAUAAGUUUGUGAAUCUGAUCGCCUUGGUGGAAUCACAAAUUUUCAGUGUAUUAGUGCCAAUUUCAAAAAUCCAUAUAAAAUUGAAAACAAAGUCAAAUCUUAUGAAACAAAAUUUAAUCAAUAAGCCCUACAUAUCUAUUUUUCAUAAAUAUAAAGUUCUUAAGAAAAAUCGUUCAGAAAAUAUAUGUUUGAAUUCAAGAUACUCAUAUUGUCCAGAAUUUGUCUAGUAUGCUUAAUUCACCAAGGGUUGAUUAAUAAAACCCACAAUAAAUCAGAACCCUAAACAAAAACUAAACACAUCUUAAAUCAUGCAUAAUGAUUUGUAACAAUUUAAAAUAAUGCUAAUAUAAACCCUAGAUAGAGUGAUUGGAAAUCUUGUGGAGAAUAAGGAGAGUAAACUUACCAAUCGUUUUGAUUCUCUUCUAAAAAAAUGUUUUAAUUCC
rnacentral:lncRNA from 1 species